ACAUUUUAACCAGAAUCCAAACUUUUCUUCAGAGCGCAUACGAAUAGACUACAUAUUAAAAUAGGUUUAGCUGUCAAUGAGCCCAUUAAAACACAGCCGAGGGACGUUUUUGCUGUCUUCUCAAGCUCAGCGCACUUUUUGCCCUCUGUAAACUCAACUGCCUCCAUGAACUCAGCCAUGGCGUGGCGUUGUUUUGAGUUACUUAUGUUCAGACAGAAUUUUUAUGUAUACUAGCUAUAUUAACAGGGAUCAGGAAGACGUCCCACUGUGCAUGUCUUCACGGGACCGAACAACCAAUUAAAAAAUUAGGAAAGAAGGACAACUAUUUUCCAUCUAUUUUUGCACAUUUCAUUUUGGGGGAAGCUUUUAGGCGCGGCUUCACUCAUAUAGGAAGAGAUAAGAGGACUGCCCAUUAACUAUAUCAAGAAAUAACUUCACAUUUACCAAGCUGAUCGCAAAAACUAACUUGGACCCCGGACGUUUUUAGGGAAUUUAAAACAACUGUUGCUUAUCGACAGCGGCAAAUCUAAACGGGUUUUCUGUUGGACUCCGGCUUGAGUUUACCAUCUAUUUUUCAAUCAGAUAAACCCAAGGUAUACCAGGGUGUGCGUGUGAAGACCACUGUUAAGGAGUUACUGCAGAAGCACAGAGCCCUGCAGGCACAGACAACCGCAACGGUAAACAAUGGUGUUGGAUAGGCUACCAAUAAAACUCAUAAAUCAGACACUACUGACGUACAAGUUCAUGGUGGCCAAACUAAAACGAAGCCUGGUCAGUGUAAUAUCAAAUUUAAAGCACCACGCCCCCCCCCUCCCCCCAGGCCUAUAUGUGCUCGAGGUUUCAGUUGAUACCACAUAAUUGUACAAACUAACGGCAGAUUUCUGCUGUUUUUCAACUGAACGAAAGCAAUAAUUAAUAUUUUCCCUUGCCUCUUUCUCUCUUUUACAAUUGUAAUCCUAUAGAAAUCACAAGCCAUGGCUGCUCACGAUGUCUGCUCUACGACCAUGAAUACCCACCUUGAUGUCUUUGGAAUGCAAGCUCCAGAGCCCUAUUUCCAGACACGUCCCUUUACCGAAAAUGUCAAUAUCCCGAUGGAGAAUGCUUAUGAUCAUCAACAGAUGAUGCACUUGAUGCCACCUGAGACUUUCAGCGGCAGUAAUUUCGUGUAUCCCACUUCUUCGCAGUGGUCUAAUGGAUAUAUACCUUCUAAUACGGACCUCUAUGGUACUAGCCUGGUAUCGAGAUCACCCUCAGACUCAUUCAAUCUCCCAAGUCCAGUCGACUACAACAGUUACUCUCCCCCUCAGUCCAAAUCUUCAUCUUCUUCGUGCUACAGCUCUCCAGCGCGGAUGGAUUUGAGCUCCAGUUUCUCUCCAGAAAAUUACCACUAUCAGCAUUGCAACCUACAGCAUUGCUUUUGUCUGUCGCAUUGGUCCAAUGUGCAGGAAGGCAUGGCAACCUCGGAGUUUGCGCCCUACGGCUCAUCAGACUGUUUGUAUUCAUAUGGCGACGACAGUAAUUUCAGAAGGGAUACUUCAAACUCAGAGAUGUGUUACUUAAAAAAUGCAUUUUGAAGCACUUUGCGCGAAUAUUCAGUGUCAUAAUUGAUUCAUUUGAAUGCAUGUGUUGUAUUUUAGUUUAGAUAAAAGAACAAGCAGUGAUAGAAUGAAUGAUUUACAAAUAAUUCAUUUAUCUUUUCUACAAUAAACAUAUUUUUUUCGUAAUUAUACUGGCAUUGGGGAAAUAUUUCAGAUUUACAGCGUGCAGUUUCUGUUUAGCUCUUGAAAUGUACAUCGGAGCUUCUAUAGUUUUUUUUAACGUACAAAUAGAGCUGUGGCACUGAGGGCUCAUUUAUUGUUUUGCAUAUCAACAUUCGACAUUAUGAAAAAUACCAGAAGAAAGCUUUACAAUUUGUUACUUAUGAAAACGGAUUUUGUCCUGUAACUAGCUGUUAACAUUUUUCUUUGCGC
ensembl:lncRNA uncharacterized LOC107597510